rnacentral:rRNA from 1 species
GACGAACGCUGGCGGCAUGCUUAACACAUGCAAGUCGAACGGAAAGGCCCGGCUUUUGUGGGGUGCUCGAGUGGCGAACGGGUGAGUAACACGUGAGUAACCUGCCCUUGACUUGGGGAUAACUUCAGGAAACUGGGGCUAAUACCGGAUAGGAGCUCCUGCUGCAUGGUGGGGGUUGGAGAGUUUCGGCGGUUGGGGAUGGACUCGCGGCUUAUCAGCUUGUUGGUGGGGUAGUGGCUUACCAAGGCUUUGACGGGUAGCCGGCCUGAGAGGGUGACCGGCCACAUUGGGACUGAGAUGCGGCCCAGACUCCUACGGGAGGCAGCAGUGGGGAAUAUUGCACAAUGGGCGGAAGCCUGAUGCAGCAACGCCGCGUGCGGGAUGACGGCCUUCGGGUUGUCAACCGCUUUCGCCUGUGACGAAGCGUGAGUGACGGUAAUGGGUAAAGAAGCACCGGCUAACUACGUG